GGAAAAUUGCGGAAGCUUACAAUGCAAGUCGAACGGCAGCACGGGGGCAACCCUGGUGGCGAGUGGCGAACGGGUGAGUAACAUAUCGGAACGUGCCCUGGAGUGGGGGAUAACUAGUCGAAAGAUUAGCUAAUACCGCAUACGAUCUACGGAUGAAAGUGGGGGAUCGCAAGACCUCAUGCUCGUGGAGCGGCCGAUAUCUGAUUAGCUAGUUGGUGGGGUAAAGGCCUACCAAGGCAUCGAUCAGUAGCUGGUCUGAGAGGACGACCAGCCACACUGGGACUGAGACACGGCCCAGACUCCUACGGGAGGCAGCAGUGGGGAAUUUUGGACAAUGGGCGCAAGCCUGAUCCAGCAAUGCCGCGUGAGUGAAGAAGGCCUUCGGGUUGUAAAGCUCUUUUGUCAGGGAAGAAACGGUUCGGGUUAAUACCUUGGGCUAAUGACGGUACCUGAAGAAUAAGCACCGGCUAACUACGUGCCAGCAGCCGCGGUAAUACGUAGGGUGCAAGCGUUAAUCGGAAUUACUGGGCGUAAAGCGUGCGCAGGCGGUUGUGCAAGACAGAUGUGAAAUCCCCGGGCUCAACCUGGGAAUUGCAUUUGUGACUGUACGGCUAGAGUGUGUCAGAGGGGGGUAGAAUUCCACGUGUAGCAGUGAAAUGCGUAGAGAUGUGGAGGAAUACCGAUGGCGAAGGCAGCCCCCUGGGAUAACACUGACGCUCAUGCACGAAAGCGUGGGGAGCAAACAGGAUUAGAUACCCUGGUAGUCCACGCCCUAAACGAUGUCUACUAGUUGUCGGGUCUUUAUUGACUUGGUAACGCAGCUAACGCGUGAAGUAGACCGCCUGGGGAGUACGGUCGCAAGAUUAAAACUCAAAGGAAUUGACGGGGACCCGCACAAGCGGUGGAUGAUGUGGAUUAAUUCGAUGCAACGCGAAAAACCUUACCUACCCUUGACAUGGUCGGAAGCCCUCGAGAGAUUGAGGCGUGCUCGAAAGAGAGCCGAUACACAGGUGCUGCAUGGCCUGUCGUCAGCUCGUGUCGUGAGAUGUUGGGUUAAGUCCCGCACGAGCGCAAACCUGUCAUUAGUGCUACAUUAGUGGGCACCUCUAAUGAGACUGCGGUGACAACCGGAGAGGUGGGAUGACGUCAGUCUCAUGGCCUUACGAUAGGCUUCAACGUCCAUACAAUGGUACAUUACCAGAGGGGUCGCCCAUAAUCCUCG
rnacentral:rRNA from 1 species